AGAAUCAACGCUGGCGGCGUGCCUAACACAUGCAAGUCGAACGAGAAAGGGACUUCGGUCCUGAGUAUAGUGGCGCACGGGUGAGUAACACGUGAAUAAUCUACCCUCGAGUGGGGAAUAACUGAGAGAAAUCUUAGCUAAUACCGCAUAACACUUACGAGUCAAAGCAAGCAAUUGCGCUUGGGGGAGGAGUUCGCGGCAGAUUAGCUAGUUGGCGGGGUAAUGGCCCACCAAGGCGAUGAUCUGUAUCCGGCCUGAGAGGGCGCACGGACACACUGGAACUGAAACACGGUCCAGACUCCUACGGGAGGCAGCAGUGGGGAAUUUUGCGCAAUGGGGGAAACCCUGACGCAGCAACGCCGCGUGGAGGAUGAAGUAUCUUGGUACGUAAACUCCUUUCGAUGGGGAAGAUAAUGACGGUACCCAUAGAAGAAGCCCGGACUAACUUCGCGCCAGCAGCCGC
rnacentral:rRNA from 1 species